AUCACCUCUCGGCCUUUUGGCUAAGAUCAAGUGUAGUAUCUGUUCUUAUCAGUUUAAUAUCUGAUACAUCCUCUAUCUGAGGACAUUAUAUUAAGUAUAUUUUUGGAAUAGGGAGAUGGAAUAGGAGCUUGUUGUGUCCACUCCACGCAUCGACCUGGUAUUGCAAUACCUCCUGGAACGAUGCACCAAAA
rnacentral:snRNA from 1 species